UACGUAGGUGGCAAGCGUUGUCCGGAAUUAUUGGGCGUAAAGCGCGCGCAGGCGGUCCUUUAAGUCUGAUGUGAAAGCCCCCGGCUCAACUGGGGAGGGUCACGCGAUACUGAUCGACUCGAAGGCAGGAGAGGGAAGUGGAAUUCCCGGUGUAGUGGUGAAAUGCGUAGAUAUCGGGAGGAACACCAGUGGCGAAGGCGACUUCCUGGCCUGUUCUUGACGCUGAGGCGCGAAAGCUAGGGGAGCAAACGGG
rnacentral:rRNA from 1 species